rnacentral:rRNA from 1 species
UUUGACCUCAAAUCAGGUAGGACUACCCGCUGAACUUAAGCAUAUCAAUAAGCGGAGGAAAAGAAACUAACAAGGAUUCCCCUAGUAACUGCGAGUGAAGCGGGAAAAGCUCAAAUUUGAAAUCUGGCAGUCUUUUUUUUCUUCUUUGGCUGUCCGAGUUGUAAUCUAGAGAAGUGCUUACCUGCACUGGACCAUGUAUAAGUCUCCUGGAAUGGAGCGUCACAGAGGGUGAGAAUCCCGUCUUUGACAUGGACCGCCAGUGUGUUGUGGUGUGCUCUCAAAGAGUCGAGUUGUUUGGGAAUGCAGCUCUAAAUGGGUGGUAAACUCCAUCUAAAGCUAAAUAUUGGCGAGAGACCGAUAGCGAACAAGUACCGUGAGGGAAAGAUGAAAAGGACUUUGGAAAGAGAGUUAAACAGUAUGUGAAAUUGUUGAAAGGGAAACGCUUGAAGUCAGUUAUGUCGGCUGGGGAUCAACCUAGCUGUCUUUUGCUGGGUGAAUUUCCUAGUCUGACAGGCCAACAUCAGUCUUGACUGCUGGAAAAGAGCAGAGGGAAUGUGGCACCUUCGGGUGUGUUAUAGCCCUUUGUCAUAUGUGGCAGUCGGGACUGAGGGAUGCAGCGUGCCGCGAGGCUGGGUUUCGACCACGUUCACGCUUAGGAUGUUGGCUUUUAAUGGCUUCAAUCGACCCGUCUUGAAACACGGACCAAGGAGUCUAACAUGCCUGCGAGUGUUUGGGUGGAAAACCCUUGCGCGCAAUGAAAGUGAAAGUUGAGAUCCCUGUCAUGGGGAGCAUCGACGCCCGGACUUGAGCUUUUAGCAAAGGAUCCGCGGUAGAGCAUGCAUGUUGGGACCCGAAAGAUGGUGAACUAUGCCUGAAUAGGGCAAAGCCAGAGGAAACUCUGGUGGAGGCUCGUAGCGAUUCUGACGUGCAAAUCGAUCGUCAAAUUUGGGUAUAGGGGCGAAAGACUAAUCGAACCAUCUAGUAGCUGGUUCCUGCCGAAGUUUCCCUCAGGAUAGCAGAAGCUCAUUAUCAGAUUUAUGUGGUAAAGCGAAUGAUUAGAGGCCUUGGGGUUGAAACAACCUUAACCUAUUCUCAAACUUUAAAUAUGUAAGAACGAGUUGUCACUUGAUUGGAC